CCGCCCAAGGAGGUGCCAUCUUCGCUGUUGGUUGCAGCUGUCCGGAUCUUCUUCCAUUCGUUUGGAUCUCUUCCUCUUCCUUCGUUGUCACUCAUCAUGAAUAUGAAGUCGAAACAGCAAAUGGAAGAACAAUUACAAAAAAAGGAAAACCAAAAGUACUGUAAUGUUUGCGGGAACAAAGGGACAAGUUCAUACAAAUUCAUCUAAUAUAGGUGAUCUGUUUUCAGAAGGAUCUCUGAAUCCUUAUGCAGAUGAUCCCUAUGCAUUUGAUUAGAGGUGUCGAAGCUGAGAAGCUGAUUGGUGUUAGCGCGCUUGACAUGUUUGAGGCUGCUUACAAUGAGGUUAUGUGUUGCUCUAUUCUCAUGCAUAGAUACCUGAACUUGGAGAUUGUUCAACUAUGUAGCCAGACCUUUAAGUUGUACCAUCGUGUGGCUUGUCGAAUUGAACUGACCAGGCUCCUAUGCUAUUUUAAGCGUUCAUCCGAUGUGUUCAACAAAGUGACGUGCACUAAAUACACUGUUGUUGCUUGCUACCCAGUUUAGAGAGGUUGUUUUUGGAUGCUUAUUUCUUGUGCUAUCUUGUCAGCUCGUGAACUUCUUUGAGCUUGUAGUGGCGUCGGUAUUAGUUUUGAGGCUUAUAUGCUAUUGAUACUAAUAGCAUUUAGUGGUUCUGUUCUUUUUAAAAAAUUUUCUUUGGGAUGCUUUGUUAUGCUGCCAGCUCAGAGCCUUUCUUCUUGGGCUGAGUUCUUAGGCAGCAGUAGUAUUUGGAAUAGUGAUAUGUAAACUAUAGACCACAUGUUUGUUACUUAGACGAUUCAUUCACUGGACAAUUACUAAACUUUGUUUUGUUUCUGCGUUUCUAAAGCCUAGAUCUUUGUAUAGUUCUUUAGCCUUUGGAGUUUUAAGCAACAAACAUUCCUUCUGUCCUAGCUGUUACUUUUGUUAUUCCAACUUAUUACAUCUAAUAAAGUCAA